AUUGAACGCUGGCGGCAGGCCUAACACAUGCAAGUCGAACGGUAGCACAGAGAGCUUGCUCUCGGGUGACGAGUGGCGGACGGGUGAGUAACGUCUGGGAAACUGCCCGAUGGAGGGGGAUAACUACUGGAAACGGUAGCUAAUAUCGCAUAACGUCGCAAGACCAAAGUGGGGGACCUUCGGGCCUCACACCAUCGGAUGUGCCCAGAUGGGAUUAGCUAGUAGGCGGGGUAAUGGCUCACCUAGGCGACGAUCCCUAGCUGGUCUGAGAGGAUGACCAGCCACACUGGAACUGAGACACGGUCCAGCCUCCUACGGGAGGCAGCAGUGGGGAAUAUUGCACAAUGGGCGCAAGCCUGAUGCAGCCAUGCCGCGUGUAUGAAGAAGGCCUUCGGGUUGUAAAGUACUUUCAGCGGGGAGGAAGGCGGUGAAGUUAAUAGCUUCACCGAUUGACGUUACCCGCAGAAGAAGCACCGGCUAACUCCGUGCCAGCAGCCGCCGUAACAC
rnacentral:rRNA from 1 species